rnacentral:tRNA from 1 species
GGGGUAGUGAUCUAAUGGCUAUGAUUCCUGGCUUCCACCCAGGCCGUGCGGGUUCAAUUCCUGCUUACCUCA